UCCCAGCAAGCUUGGAAGCCAUACGAGGUCCGUGACGUGAUUGAGCAGUACGCCCAAGGACACCUCAACACGAUGGUUCGCAUAAAAGAACUUCAAAGAAGGUUGGACCAAUACUUGGGAAAGCCAGGUCUUUUCCUCCCAGAAAAAGGGGUAGACAAAGGAUACUACAGUAUAGGAGCCAGACUGAUCCGGCUGGAGGAUAAGGUAA